UACGUAGGAGGCAAGCGUUGUCCGGAUUUACUGGGCGUAAAGGGCUCGCAGGCGGUUCACUAAGUCUGACGUGAAAUCUCCCGGCUUAACUGGGAGGGUGCAUUGGAAACUGGCGAACUUGAGGGCAUCAGAGGAGAGUGGAAUUCCCGGUGUAGUGGUGAAAUGCGUAGAUAUCGGGAGGAACACCAGUGGCGAAGGCGGCUCUCUGGGGUGCAUCUGACGCUGAGGAGCGAAAGCGUGGGGAGCGAACCGG
rnacentral:rRNA from 1 species